UUGCUUAGGCAGCACACAUACUAAAAUUGGAACAAUACAGAAAGGAUUAGCAAGGCCCCUCUGUAAGGAUGACAUGCAUAUUCGUGAAGCAUUCCAUAACUUU